ACGUAGGGUCCGAGCGUUGUCCGGAGUUACUGGGCGUAAAGCGCGCGCAGGCGGCGGUGUUGGCCCGGCGUGAAAGCCCCCGGCUCAACCGGGGAGGGUCGUCGGGGACCGCACCGCUUGAGGGCGGUAGGGGCUGGUGGAAUGCCUGGUGUAGUGGUGAAAUGCGUAGAGAUCAGGCGGAACACCUGUGGCGAAGGCGGCCAGCUGGGCCGUCCCUGACGCUGAGGCGCGAAGGCGUGGGGAGCGAACGGGA
rnacentral:rRNA from 1 species